rnacentral:rRNA from 1 species
UACGAAGGGGGCUAGCGUUGUUCGGAAUUACUGGGCGUAAAGCGUGUGUAGGUGGUUGUUCAAGUUGGAUGUGAAAGCCUUGGGCUUAACCCAAGAAAUGCAUUCAGGACUGAGCGACUAGAGGACCGGAGAGGAUAGUGGAAUUCCCAGUGUAGUGGUGAAAUACGUAGAGAUUGGGAAGAACACCAGUGGCGAAGGCGGCUAUCUGGACGGUUUCUGACACUAAGACUCGAAAGCGUGGGGAGCAAACAGG